rnacentral:tRNA from 1 species
GCGCAUGUGGCGAAACUGGCAGACGCACCAGACUUAGGAUCUGGCGGGCAACCGUGGGGGUUCGAGUCCCUUCAUGCGCACCA